UGCAACCUAACAAUAAUCCUCUUUCUCUUUCUCUCUCUUCCCCCAUCCAUUAACAAGAUUAGGAUCGAUGGAAAUUACCAAAAGAGAUCGAGGAAGCUGAAUCGGGAUAAAUCAUUAGAAGUAAAAGGAGGUAACGCGGCAUGCACCUUUAGCCUCAACGAGCACCAACAACCAAUAUGUGACUGCUCUGAUGGGCGGCGGUGGCACCGAUAGUGUACGGCUUCAUAUGUCGAUGACUGCUUGCUUUAGCGUUGCAUGGAUCGGAGACCUACGACUUCAUCUCUGCCACAACGAACGACUGUACCUGGCCUUACGUGUGAAUGGUCUCGCAUAGUGGUGGCCACGAUGAUAUACAUACAACUGCACACAGCCGACCAGUGACUACUCCCGGCAACAACGACGAAUGGCUGCUCACAACCGAUGACUGCUCCUGUGUCGAGACAACGAUGACUGCUCCUGUGCUUUGAUGUGUAUAUUAAGUUGAUCAUUAAGUCAUAGAUUUGUGUAUGCACAUGCAUUAGCACGCAUCAUCAUCAGACAAACAACCCAUGUCCUCAAAAAAUUCUUCUAGCUAGUAUAUGCAGUUGCUACAAGGUGUAGUAUGUUAUAGAUACUUCAUUUAAUUUUAUACUACAGUUACGUAAUUUUUCAAGAGGCAAUCUCACAAUAUACUAUAGUACUUGUACCUGUACAUGUGGAGAGAACAUUUUGA